rnacentral:tRNA from 1 species
AUCAGGAUGGCCGAGCGGUCUAAGGCGCUACGUUCAGGUCGUAGUCUACUCUGUAGGCGUGGGUUCGAAUCCCACUUCUGACA